UGAGCAAUCUGCCCUUCUCAUCGGAAUAAGCGUUGGAAACGACGUCUAAUGCCGAAUACGACCUCCUUUCGCAUGAUCGGAGGUGGAAAGCUCCGCCGGAGAGGGAUGGGCCCGCGGCCUAUCAGCUUGUUGGUGGGGUAACGGCCCACCAAGGCGACGACGGGUAGCCGGCCUGAGAGGGUGACCGGCCACACUGGGACUGAGACACGGCCCAGACUCCUACGGGAGGCAGCAGUGGGG
rnacentral:rRNA from 1 species